AUUGAACGCUAGCGGUAUGCUUAACACAUGCAAGUCGAACGGCAGCACGGUCGUAGCAAUACGAUGGGUGGCGAGUGGCGGACGGGUGAGUAAUGCAUAGGAAUCUGCCUUGUAGUGGGGGAUAACCCGGGGAAACUCGGGCUAAUACCGCAUAAUCUUUACGAAGCAAAGUGGGGGACCGUAAGGCCUCACGCUAUAAGAUGAGCCUAUGUCGGAUUAGCUAGUUGGUAGGGUAAAGGCCUACAAAGGCAACGAUCCGUAGCUGGUCUGAGAGGGUGAUCGGACACACUGGGACUGAGCAACGGCCCAGACUCCUACGGGAGGCAGCAGUGGGGAAUAUUGGACAAUGGGCGCAAGCCUGAUCCAGCAAUACCGUGUGUGUGAAGAAGGCCUUAGGGUUGUAAAGCACUUUUAGUGGGAAAGAAAAGCUCAUGGUUAAUAUCCAUGAGUGCUGACGUUACCCACAGAAAAAGCACUGGCUAACUCUGUGCCAGCCGCCGCGGUAA
rnacentral:rRNA from 1 species